UACGGAGGGUGCAAGCGUUAUCCGGAUUCACUGGGUUUAAAGGGUGCGUAGGCGGGCAGGUAAGUCAGUGGUGAAAUCUCCGGGCUUAACCCGGAAACUGCCGUUGAUACUAUCUGUCUUGAAUAUCGUGGAGGUAAGCGGAAUAUGUCAUGUAGCGGUGAAAUGCUUAGAUAUGACAUAGAACACCCAUUGCGAAGGCAGCUUACUACACGAUCAUUGACGCUGAGGCACGAAAGCGUGGGAGCAAACAGG
rnacentral:rRNA from 1 species